rnacentral:rRNA from 1 species
GACGGAGGAUGCAAGCGUUAUCCGGAAUGAUUGGGCGUAAAGCGUCCGCAGGUGGCAGUUCAAGUCUGCUGUCAAAGACCGGGGCUUAACUUCGGAAAGGCAGUGGAAACUGAACAGCUGGAGUACGGUAGGGGCAGAGGGAAUUUCCGGUGGAGCGGUAAAAUGCGUAGAGAUCGGAAAGAACACCAACGGCGAAAGCGCUCUGCUGGGCCGACACUGACACUGAGAGACGAAAGCUAGGGGAGCGAAUGGG